rnacentral:lncRNA from 1 species
UUUUCACGAAGUGACGGAUAAGAGGAAAAUUGUCACUUUUUUCAAUUUUGAGUUUUUUGCAUUUUUGGACAUCUAUGACUUAUAUCUUGAACCUCAAAAAGUUUCAGAUCACAAUAAUGUCUAAUUACGUUGCUAUGACGACAUGACAUUCAAUAAAAUACCGGGUAAAAGGAUUUCUUGUUUUCACGAAGUGACGGAUAAGCAGCCGUCAUUACGUGAAAACAAACGAAUACGCUUUGCACUCAAGAGUUUUUUCACGAAGUGACGGAAGGCAAAUAUUUACAGUUUGGAACAGCCGAAGACCAUGAAAUGAUGCAGUAUAUACAAUAAGUGAUGUUUCAGAGAACAAAUGAGAGAAGUCCUGGAACUGGUACACUUGUUGCUGAUGGUCAGAUACAAUUCCAGGUUAGAUCCAGGGGCCGACACGCUUGUCAGAUGUGUCAUUGAUGAUUCCCUGAACAUCGCAGAUAUGAUCUGAUUUGGUGACAUGACAGUGGAAUUGGUAGUGACUGGAUUUUUAUAGUGUGCCCUGGUUUUGAACUAUUGAAGUAACCAAACUAGAAACAUCUUCUGAGAACUCUGACUGCAAUUCUAAUGAUGAAACUCUGUCUACACUUGUGAAAAUGUGAAGGAGUUGGGUCUACCUCGUGGCCUUUCAGGUUCAGUGCUCUCAUCUAACUUUUUCUUUUUCCAGCUGGGUAACUGAUAUCAAUUUUAAUUUUCUUGAGAUUUUGACUUCAACAUAAGUUUAGUUUUAAUUUUGAUAGGACUUUCAAAUCUGGUUUCAUUUUUAGAGCAGUGUAUUAUAUAAAGAAACUAUACUGCUUGAACUAUAAGUCUCUGCUCUUAUAGUGAUAUGAUUAUGAACUCCUUUAAAAAUAUUUUAUAUAUACAGUCAAAUAUAAAGUUCAGAAUAGUCACUUAUCUUCUAUACUUACAUGUUAAAAUUGCUUAUACACAUCGUCCACAUAUGGAUGCAGAAUAAUUACCAUUUUUCAUUCAUUUGAUUCGCAUGUUUUCAUUUUGCUUGGUGCUAUCUAAAAAACAGAAAUACUGCAUAUUUCUACAUUUAAAAUAAAACUGAAUGUUAUUAGCUGUAUUGUGCUUAAAUGAAUUGUGUUAAUACUACAUAUUCUUUAAUAAUAACAAUCAUACAAUUUAGACUGACAUGCAUUGUGAUACUCGAUAGCUGCAUGAUAUAUUACUAGUAAGGAUGUAGGGGUGAAAAUCAUAUUAGGUUUUUGUACAUUCAUUUUCAAAAGCCAAAUGUAUUAAUACAGACACCCCCCCCCCCCCCCCCCCCUCUUCCAUGAGGUAAUGUUUUAUUGGUUUAUCAGGGGUGUGAGAAUUCUUAAGCUGAUUUUAGUUAUUUUUUGCUUUUUAUUUUAAGCUUGAUAUCCCCCAUUUCUGUACAAUAGUUUGAGAGCUCAUUCAAUUUAAUCCCCCAACUCUUUACAGAAUUUUCAGGUCUUUAUUUGUCAUCGCUCACACACCUGGUUCAUGCAGUUGAUGUGUCGUAAUUUUAUUCCAGAAAAUCCAACUGUUAGAUUUUGUUAUUCACGAAAGAAGUAAUACAUGAUUAUGUUUAGCUGGAGGUUAAAGAUACACUGCAGCACAUGUUUUUCUGUCUAUUUGUAGUAAGAAUUUUACUCUUUUUUUUAAUCGCACUAGAUCAAAGAUGUUAUUUUCUAAAACCAUGAAGACGAUUUUUUUAAGUUUUCAGAUUUGGAAGAAACUAAGGUGUAUUUUAAUAUAUGUUCCUGUUUUGGACUCUGACAAUAAUUUGCAAUUAAAAAACAAGUGUUUGAUUGGAAAAUGUAUUGAUGAAUGUUAUUUAGCCAAUGACUUGAGAAUGAUGGAAAAAAUACAAAUCUACUUAGUCAUUCGUAUUUUUUAUCCUUGCAUUUUUUUUUUGCUUUUGUCGCUGUUUGGAAUUUUGAUUAUAAAUUUGUUUAAAAAAUUAUCCUGUU